rnacentral:rRNA from 1 species
UGGGGAAUAUUGCGCAAUGGGGGGAACCCUGACGCAGCCAUGCCGCGUGAAUGAAGAAGGCCUUAGGGUUGUAAAGUUCUUUCGGUAUUGAGGAAGGUUGAUGUGUUAAUAGCACAUCAAAUUGACGUUAAAUACAGAAGAAGCACCGGCUAACUCCGUGCCAGCAGCCGCGGUAAUACGGAGGGUGCGAGCGUUAAUCGGAAUAACUGGGCGUAAAGGGCACGCAGGCGGUUAUUUAAGUGAGGUGUGAAAGCCCCGGGCUUAACCUGGGAAUUGCAUUUCAGACUGGGUAACUAGAGUACUUUAGGGAGGGGUAGAAUUCCACGUGUAGCGGUGAAAUGCGUAGAGAUGUGGAGGAAUACCGAAGGCGAAGGCAGCCCCUUGGGAAUGUACUGACGCUCAUGUGCGAAAGCGUGGGGAGCAAACAGGAUUAGAUACCCUGGUAGUCCACGCUGUAAACGCUGUCGAUUUGGGGGUUGGGGUUUAACUCUGGCGCCCGUAGCUAACGUGAUAAAUCGACCGCCUGGGGAGUACGGCUGCAAGGUUA